UACCUAUGUGCUAUAUACACAUACCAUACAAAAGUAGAAAAAAGAAUAAUAUCAGAACAGAUUGGAUCAAUAAUGGCGCCUGUAAUUAUCUGCUCUUUAAAAUUAUCAUGACAUCCAGCAAACAAGUAAUUUUAAAACCAAUGUUAUGCUUUACAUGGGUUUUGAGGGUUUUUAGGGCUUUCUAAUCCUUAGAAAGGGGCUCGCGGUUUACCGGUUCCAUUGAGAGAGAGGGGCAGCCAGGAGUCAAAUAAUUGUCUCCACCCACCUCUAAACGUUUAACCCCGCCCACAAUUAGCCCCGCCCCGAUCUCCGGGAUGCAGCCAGGGGUUACUCCCCUGCCCCGUGCUACAACUACGCUUAGCUGUAUCCAACAUUGCCGAGACACGAUCUAGAAGCUGUCCUGUUCUCAGAUAACUCUGUGGACUUGCUGUUAGCUAAACACGGCUAAAAAAACCUGCUACCACUUCAGGAUCAUCCAUCAGCUGGGACUGAUUCAUCGUGUGUUCUUCACCACCUGGACCUGGACAGCAUGGACACAGG